AUAAAUUGAUCAUAAUAGAUAUAUCCUUUUAGGAAUUGUUCAUGUCGUAUUGAUCCUUGUGUUUGUAUACUUGUAGAGACCGUCCUGGAGUGUUUGUGCUACCUGAUUCUUGGGAUUGUGCACCAAUCUCUCUCUCUGGCUGACUUUGCACUCCCUAUUUUGCAAUUACAUCUGUUUGGUCAAAAUCCAUGAAGGCUGAAGAAACUGUGAUGCUUACUUAUGAGGACAUAACCUUUGUACGCAAGACCCCAGAAAGUCCAGAAGGUGCAGUGCUGUCUAAUGCCGCUGGUUCUGUAUUAACCCUUUCAACAAUUGGGGUGUUGCACAGAGCAUUGUGGUGAACAUGCAGCUAACAAAAGAAGAACUAAGAACUAUGUGGAACCUGACAUUGUCUUGUUGUCAGCCAUAUUGCUACCCUUAGCUAUUUUAUGGAACAAAAUGUAUGGUGUCCUAACUAAUUUAUUUAU